UUUUAUGGCCAUACCACUCCGAACAUGCCCAAUCUUGUCUGAUCUUGGAAGUUAAGCAGGGUCAGGCCUAGUUAUUACUUGGAUGGGAGACCACCUGGGAAUACCUAGUGCUGUAGGCU
rnacentral:rRNA from 1 species